CCUCACGCAGCUCAACUGGUCUGAGCGUCCGACUUAUAAUCGGAAGAUUGUGAGUUCAAGCCUCACCGUGAGGCCCA
rnacentral:tRNA from 1 species